rnacentral:rRNA from 1 species
GAUGAACGCUAGCGGCAGGCCUAAUACAUGCAAGUCGAGGGGCAGCGCGGUAGCAAUACUGGCGGCGACCGGCGCACGGGUGCGUAACACGUAUGCAACCUACCUUCAACUGGAGGAUAGCCCGGGGAAACUCGGAUUAAUACUCCAUAACACAGGGAUCCCGCAUGGGAAUAUUGUUAAAGCUACGGCGGUUGAAGAUGGGCAUGCGUUCGAUUAGCUAGUUGGUGUAGGUAACGGCUCACCAAGGCUACGAUCGAUAGGGGGUCUGAGAGGAUGAUCCCCCACACUGGUACUGAGAUACGGACCAGACUCCUACGGGAGCAGCAGUAGGGAAUAUUGGUCAAUGGGCGCAAGCCUGAACCAGCCAUGCCGCGUGCAGGAAGAAGGCCCUCUGGGUUGUAAACUGCUUUUGAUAGGGACAAAUGCCACUUGCGAGUGGAGCUGAGUGUACCUAUAGAAUAAGCACCGGCUAACUCCGUGCCAGCAGCCGACGG